GCAAAAGCAGUAAUGUCUCUCCAGAGGAAUCAGUCAAGGGGCGGGGGGAGAAAGGGAGAUGCUCUUUGUGAAUCUGAUGCCUUAACCCUGUUACAGUGACAUUCGCUUUCUGGGAACAGGGGAAAGACAGGCUUACCCCCAUGGCUUCCCACACAGCCACCUUUCAGCACAGAGACAACCCCUGACAGCUGCGAAAAAUGCCUGGGAUUUGCCUCACUGCUCAUAUCUCUGUGCAUCCCCCCCACACACACACCACCACCCACUGUCUCUACUCUCUCUGAGUGCUUGUUUAGUACAUCAGAGCUUCCUCCAUCGACACAGACACCUUAAUUGCACCGAAAGAAACACCCCCAGGGAGGAGAUGGCAGACUGUCAGGUGCAUUUAGUGUGAUUCAGAAGGAAGGGUCUGCCUGAGGAAUGCCACCCUCGCCCUCCCCAUUUGCUCUCUAGCUUCUGAGAAAAUAACACACCACUCAGCCAACAGGAGUCCUAUCAUCUUGAAGGAUUAGUUCAGCGUUGUACUUGCUUUAGUGCCGUCAGCAGCUCAGAGGCAAAAGAAGUUGUCUGAACAUUCCAAGACAUUUUUCUGCCUGAGUCAAAGGACAAUAUGAUACAUACACCCAUAUGUGGAUGGGUGCUUAGCCUUCUUGCAACAUGUGAACACUCUCAGACUAUACCAGCAAGUCAGCCAGUCGCAGCAGCUUGCAUUGUGAAGGGAAGAGGAAGAGAGAAAAGAUAUGUUCCAGUGGGCUGAGGAGAGAAACAACAUGCUCCAGUGGGAUGAGGAAGUUUCAUGGCAGUGGGCAGCCAGGCACUCUUCUGUUAGGGUGGUGGCAGAGGAGCUACUGCUUGCUGUCACCUGUGUCCUCCCUUGUACCCAUGCCUGAGGUGACUGCCUCACUCUGCCUCAUGGAAGAGCUGCCCCUGGCAGAGAAUGGUGGCUAUGGCAUGGAAUGCACUGGCAGUUCACACUGGGCAAGAGGCAGCUGUCUGGCCUAUCAUCUCCUUCCCUGCACAUUUCUUCCAGUAAAUCAAAUUGCUGGUUAUGAUUCUAGAUAUUCUGCAAACUUUAAAAUAAAAAUUUAAAAAACCA